rnacentral:rRNA from 1 species
CUACGGGGCGCAGCAGUGGGGAAUAUUGGACAAUGGGGGAAACCCUGAUCCAGCAAUGCCGCGUGUGUGAAGAAGGCCUGCGGGUUGUAAAGCACUUUCGGUUGGGAGGACUGCUUCUAGCACUAAUAUUGUUGGAAGUUGACGUUACCUUCAGAAGAAGCACCGGCUAGCUCCGUGCCAGCAGCCGCGGUAAUACGGAGGGUGCAAGCGGUAAUCGGAAUUACUGGGCGUAAAGCGCGCGUAGGCGGCUAGAUCAGUCGGGUGUGAAAGCCCCGGGCUUAACCUGGGAACUGCAUCCGAUACUGUCUAGCUUGAGUACAGGAGAGGAGAGUGGAAUUCCACAUGUAGCGGUGAAAUGCGUAGAUAUGUGGAGGAACACCAAUGGCGAAGGCAGCUCUCUGGCCUGAUACUGACGCUGAGGUGCGAAAGCGUGGGGAGCAAACAGGAUUAGAUACCCGCGUAGUC